rnacentral:misc_RNA from 1 species
AUGGUCUCUCUAGCCAUGAAGCACUAGCAAGCAGCUUUUUAAGGCACUGACUCUUAAUUCUUGAAGUUGUCUUCCUUAAGUCCGUCCUAAAGUCAUGAGCCUGUAUCAAAGUCAUCACACCACAAAAAACACAGAUCAAAGAAAUAGAGUCCCUCCCAUAUAAAACACAGGAUUUGCAAUGCCAACCCAAAAAUAAAAAGAAAAUCUACGCUCAAAUCGGACGAUGGGGAGGGAGACAAUCCCAUACUCAGCUGGGAAAAAGUUCCCUAUACCUCGAAUGACAUGGAAACCCACCAAAAACGGCUUUGGGUUACUCCGAAGAGAAAUUGGACUAGGA